rnacentral:rRNA from 1 species
UUUUUUCGGAGAGUUUGAUCCUGGCUCAGGACGAACGCUGGCGGCGUGCUUAACACAUGCAAGUCGAACGGAGUCUAAAAAUUACCACUGAGAUCUUAGUCAGUGGGCGAGCAGCGUCAUGGACACGAAGUGGCCAUCACGCGUUAAAAAAGUGCCAACAUAGGGCUGAGGCCUGAGUGGUGAUUUUUAGACUGAGUGGCAAACGGGUGAGUAACACGUAGGCAACCUGCCGACAGGAUGGGGACAACAUUCCGAAAGGAAUGCUAAUAC